rnacentral:lncRNA from 1 species
UAAUUAGGAUCAUUGUGUGUGUCUAAGUCUUCACUUGACACCAAGCACUUGUCUGAUCCUUCCGUACGAUAACAGCCCGUUCAAUUCCAGUCACAUACUGCAGGUGAGUUCAUACCCCUUAACUGUGACAACCCGAAAUUUUCCAUUCAAAUCAAACCACAUCAAUCCAAUGGAAGUAGAGCAGUUUCAGUGAAAAUUCAAACUUUUGGAAUAAGUUUGGCAGUUUUAGGGUUUUACACCUAAGGAGUUAUUAGGAGAGUGGGUGCACUAGGAUUUUGUGCAACACUGUAAUUCCAUUACUCUAGGUCAUUAGAAUCCAUUCCGAGAAUAGAAAUAUUUUCUGCCAAAAAUCUCUGGACUAUAAAUAGAAUUCUGAACCAAAUUGGUUCAUUAUUUGAUUUCCAUUUAGAGAAAAGCCAAAUACUCUCUCACGGAUCUUCGGGUUUUCAUCCCAGAUUGUGAGUCUACUUCCCUAAAUGUGUUUUAAUACUUGUUAUAUGCUUUAUAACAUUGUUUACAUGUCCAAAACACAAGAUCCGGGAGUUUACCGCCCAAGAACGUUCUUGGGGAGUAAACUCCAAAAUCAAGCCUAAAGGCCACCUAGUCCCAUUUCCGUGUUAGGCAUCUAACUAAGGACUUAGUGUAUGAUCAUUAGAGGCUAGAAACAAAUCAAAAGCAAGUAGUUUGAGGAGUUUACGGCCAAGGAACAACCUCUUGGGCCGUAAACUCCAAGUAAAGGGCACAAAUGAGUGCCUAGUGUUCCUUUAGCCUUAGAACAAGAACCUAGAAGCCUUAAACUCAUGAUUUAGACCCACAAAACAAUUAGAAACCAACUUUGGAAGGGAGUUUACGGCCAAGAUGCUCCUUAGGCCGUAAACUCCANCAUAGUCAUAAAAGGUCUUUCCAGUGUAUCCUAUGCCCUUGAGUAGCAAGGGUAUACAUCCACGUCCAUACGUACCACUUAGAUUACUAGAAAGCUACCAUAGGGGUAGUUCAGGAAGAUACUAGAACCAUUACUAGAACGCGAUAUCAUACAAUGAGUCAGUUCAUUCAUGAGUCAAUACUUUCUAGAACAUUGCUAUACAUUACAUGUACAAUUAUACUAGGACGAGAACAUAUACAUCCAUACUAGAACGUUUACAUUACUAUACUUGCUAGAUAGGGAGAACACACAUUCUAGCUAGCACACGUAGAACCUUACCGUACUCUACUAUAAUAUUUACAUUAUUAUACUUAUAGGAGUACUUGUGCAUAGAUAUAUCAGUAGGAGUCCUAUUACAUUUUAUAUGUAUCGACUCUGCUAUCAAAUUCGUGUUCUUAUCUUUACCUUGUGAUAAAAUCACAUAAUCGACGAGAUAGAAUGGAUUAUUAUCCUAGUACCAAAGGAUACGUAUUGAGGGAUUGACCAUUCCUAGAAUAUCUGUUAGCUACAGAGGUAAAAGUACAUCCACAGAUGUCAAACGGUCGGUACCAUUAUAGGUACGCAAUUAAGGGAUUGACUAUUCCUAUACCCAACUGUUAGCAACAGAGGUAAGAGUACAUCUACGGAUGGCUUAAAGUUAACAAUGAUAGUUACCCUAGUACAAAAGGGUAAUAUUCAGAACAGUCAGGUCUUGGUAGAAGACUACAUUCAGAACAGUUAGGUCUUGGUAGAAGACUACAUUCAGAACAGUUAGGUCUUGGUAGAAGACUACAUUCAGAACAGUUAGGUCUUGGUAGAAGACUACAUUCAGAACAGUUAGGUCUUGGUAGAAGACUACAUUCAGAACAGUUAGGUCUUGGUAGAAGACUACAUUCAGAACAGUUAGGUCUUGGUAGAAGACUACAUUCAGAACAGUUAGGUCUUGGUAGAAGACUACACACAGAACAGUUAAGUCUUGGUAGAAGACUCCUUUUUGUUACUAAUAGGAAUCAUAGGGAUUUCUAGGGAUUUUCAAACAUUUUCAGUUGAGUUACAAACAUUUUCAUACUUAAACUAGCUUUCUUUCAAAGCAAUGUCAAGUCUUAGAAAUUAUAAGUUUUCACAAAUUAAGACACAUUAAUACUUAUGAUCUCACCAGCUUUAUAGCUGAUACUCGCUUUCAAAAUUACUUGUAUCCUCAGGUCAUCAUAGACAGGUACCGAUGCAAGGAGAAAGGAAGAUGAAGCUUAUUCAAGACUUAUCUUUCAUUUUGAUUUAUGCUUUAGUGUUUAUCAAAAUUUGACAGAAUACAAUUGUAUAAUAAUUAUUUUAUUAAUGCAAUGGAUGAUGUUGUUGCUUGUUUACUACUUUACAUUGUUGUUGAUAUUAUACAUGACGUCCUCCGCCCCAGAACGUUUCCGCCGUUCUUGGUUUUGGGGUGUGACAGAUUGGUAUCAGAGCAUUGUUUAUAGUGAAUUAAGUAUAUCAACCCAUAAAAGAUAUACUAACUAUAAAUACAUAAGGGAUUAAAAAUACUCUGACCAAGAGUUUAUACUUUAAAUAGUAAAAUAUUUAAGUAAGUAUACGUGCUGCAUUCAUACUAAAAUCAAUGUCAUUAGGACAGUACAAAAGAAUUACGAUUGUUGGGCAACACAAGUGGGCUUAGAGACAUAUGGUCAAAACUGGGAAGAUAUAGCCUGAUCACCUAUAUUAUCCGAGGGUUGACUAGCAUGUGCCUAAGUUUAAGUGUGUGGUUGCAACAAUGCUAAAAUCUUACCAACCCUACCACAAUGAGAACAAUAGAACAUAACAUUAAAUUUAAAAUACUAUAGGUGUAUUUUGGUGUUACUAUAAGUACUUUAUACUUGAGAAUUAAAAUGGGAUCUUCAUUACUAAGUUGAUAGUUGCUAAGUGGAUACACUGAGGCUACAUGUAAUUAGGAUGUUAUAGACUCAGAAUCUGUGAUAAUUUUGCCUUACCCCUAUUCUGUGUGAAUAAGGAGUUAAGGUCACUUAUUCGAAGGUCUAUCCUGUUUAGAUUACACAUAGCUGGUAUGCACUUCACAAAUAGCGAUGUAACUAAUGAAGGUUUUCUAAAUAAUUAUCUAGAUAGUUCGUCUAAUAAUUAUCCUCUUACCCUAAAUUCUCGCAUAGAAAUCAUAGCUGGACUCCAUCCCCUUGACAACCAGUAUCUUCCGAAUGAAGUCAUAGCUGGUUGGUUUGGAGAAGAACCAGAGAAUGAUCAUCCUAUCCCCUUGGAUGAUCACCAUGAUGAAGACUUUUCUUAUGAUGCUAACUCCGAACCAGAGGUUGAGAACCUACCCCGAGCAGCUCCCUUUCCAAUUCCUAACCCUCGUCCGACUUUUCAUGGCCCGACCCUGAGUGAGUGGAAUGCUUGGAAACAUGGAGCCAAGGACAAGAUCAGCCCAUGCCAUUUAAUGGCGACCGAAGCUUUUACGACUUGAGCAAUGGGGGCUCAGCAGAUAGAGUCUUGCCAAUCUUGGUCCGCAGAGUGGCCCGAAAUGAGAUUCAAGGCAGGACAGCCCUACAUCAGAUUACAGAAGUAGUCGCCUAUGCUAGAAUGCAUACCCUCCACACCAUUCAUCUAGAAGAUGCUCACGAGAGAUCAGAGAGAAACCAUGAAACCCUACUGCAAGCACUGACUGAAUCACGAGCCGAAGUCAUAGGGCUCCGAGUACGCCAGAUGGUGUGCGAAAGACACCUACUUGACAUGGAACGUCAAUUGGCUGAACUAAGAGUUCACCAGAGGGAUGACCGUCGCCAGUAGUAGACGCUUUACUUUAUUUCCUUAUUAAAAGGAAUCGUAUUUUUCUGUCUAUGCCUGAUGUGGCAUUUUCUAUGAAAUUAUCUUGUACCGUAAGUACUUUAGUUAGGUCUUUAUGCUGUCAGGAACUAUCUUCUGUGGAUAUGAUGUAAGACCUUUACAAGGUCAUUUUCCAGAAUCUUUACAUCGUGAAUAUCAAAGAUAUUGACAGCCGGCUAACUUCUGUGUCAUUCUUCAUUCAAGUACUCUUAUCAUACUUUCAUUGGAGUCUAUCUGAAACCUGCUUUAGUCAAGUCAUUGGACUAUAGUAAUUUAGCUCCGGAGACAUUUCCAAGUCUCUUUCAGUGGUUGGAUCUUGUUAUUCACCAACCCACGAUACCUCGGCUUGAACGACAAACGUCUUGAGACCAUUCUACGAACUUACUUCUACUCAUUACUAGGACUGCAUCAUAGGGAUGUAGGUCAAACCUUCGCGAACAUACUUCCAUUCCGUACUAGGACUGCAUCAUAGGGAUGUAGGUCAAACUUUCGAGAACAUAGUCGUACUCUUUACAUGAACAAUCUAAGUACAUCAGGGUCAACCAGAAUCGCUCACAAAAUCCUUAUCUUUCGUGUUACAGAAUCAUGUCGUCAUCCGGAAGCAAUCAGUCGAACAGCGAAACCUCCGCUUUUCCUAUGGACGCCGCUACCUUUCAAACAGCAGUUACAGCUGCCGUGGUGGCUGCUGUAACCGCGGUCCUUGCGCACCGUAGCGCUAUCAGCACAGUCAAUGCUGCUGAUGGGAAUGAAGUUUCCAAUCGUGGUAUCCAUCCAGGAAGUCGCCAAACAGUAACAGUCACAGGCUCGCAAAGCCGAAAAGCAGAGAACAAGAAACGAAAGCGUCAAGCCCGGAAGGAACGCAAGAGAGCCCAAAAGCUGGCUAUACCACAACAGCAAGUGGAAACCCCUGCCGUUCCCAUACCGCGCAGGUCAUAUGAGGGAAAACUCCCGAAGUGUGAGAAGUGUGGUUUCCAUCAUCAUGGGACUUGCCAUGAGAUGCAAUGUUGCAAUUGCCUGAAUAUAGGGCAUCAUGCUCGUGACUGUGGAGCACCGAAACGACCUGUCACUCAAGUCCCUUUCAUCGAGACGAACCCUGCGCACAAGUUGAGUUAUAGCGCAGAACGAUUCAAGAAGCAAUUUUCGAGGUGGAGUAACGAGGAAGGCACUCGUGUCCACAUAACACUAGCUAAGCACCGAAAUCCUGUCACCAAAGCUAGUACUAGCCAGUCAUGUCACCAAUGUGGUGAGACAGGGCACUUCAAGAAAGAUUGCCCGAUAACGCAGAAUUCUGGCGCAGAUGGGAAAAUUCUCAGGAUCACAGCUGCGGGAGAGCCUGCUCAGGAACCACGUUAAUAUAUUUAAGGCGUUUCGUUGUGACAGACUUAUAAACUAUCUAGAACUAGUGCAACCAGAGUCUUACCCUUUUGCGAGAUCCUGUCUGUAUAGGAAUUCUCGUGCUGCAUAUACUUGUCUUUUGUAGUAUAUCUUAUUCGCAGCAAUAGUCUUGUGGUAAACCUAAAAGUAAUGUAACUCUGUUCAUGGUUGCAUAGAUGUGUUUUGUCUGUAAACGUCUUAUGUUUAAAUUCUAAUGUCUUUAAAGUUUCUGUAUGAUUCUGACAUUAUCAUAAAAUCAGAUUCCAUUUGACCGACGCGAAAACAACUUCAUACGUACGUCCCUAUCUUCUAGAUAACUUUUCCAGCGAAGCCGUCAUAUCAGAACGCCAAAGUACUCAUUCCCAGAGUACCUCUUAGUUAAUUUCUUUCCGAAGAAAUCCCCGAGGUACCACUCGUGCAGUGCGUCAAGUUCAAUCCAGGGAUUCAUGCGAAUGAUCUAUCACUGAGGAAGGUAUACAUAAGAGUGUUAUAUAAUCAAGGUUCUACAGGUUUAGAAUUGAUGAUUCCGCCUUAACUCUCUUCCUCUUUGGGAUGUGAGGGUAAGGAAGAAUCAGUUAUUCGACUACCUUUUCAAUCUUAAUUAUAUACGACUCGUAUACACGAAAUUGUGAUCGUAAAUCCAUGUAUGAAUUCUAAAAUGGACUUCAGGACGAAGAAACUGCCUAAGUAUACGAGUAAUCACAUUGUCAUGUGAAUAAACUUAGAACCCAGUACAACUCCCGAAAACAGACCACCCUACAGUUUAAACACCCCCGGAGAUACAAGAACAACACCAGCAACUUGGCGAAUUACACAGAAAUAGAAUUAGAAGACUAGGUUUCUCACCCUAGAGAACCCCGGUCAGAUUCUUCCAGAGAUCGAUGGAUCGCAUCGUAUGUGCCUCGGUUAUCGAGGAAUCCGUCAAGAUUUUUAUAGAAAUCGUUAUCUCUGCCUCACAUAGACAAAAUGGUUGAGCACACGUAAGGAAAGAAACUACUUCUAGGAAUAGACCUAAGAUCCGAAUAUCACCAGUUCGAUGUGUUAGGGAAGGAUGUCUGGAAGACUAUCUUCCGAAUUCGAUGCGGACGCCUCGAGUCCGUAGUGAUACCUUUCGGAUAGGACCAGUACGCCCAUGGUUUUCAUGAGCUAAAUGAAUAGGGUUACGUCUUUCUUACUUAGGAUCGAUUCGUCAUUUCUCCAUGAAAUGACUUACUUAUCUACCCUCGUAGUAAGAAGAAAACCGAUGAAAACAUUUCCUACAGAGGAACUUUUAGCGAAGUUCUAUAGGCUUGAGUUUUGAAAUUGAAGAGUCAAAUUUCUAGGACACACUGUUAGUAAUGUGAGAAAUUUUGGGUACUCUUUCAGUUUGCCAAAACAUUUGAGUAUUCAUCGACACCAGAGAAGCCGACAGCUUUCGCCAAAUGUUAGGUCUUACCGACCUACCGCCUUAGUUCAUUCAGAACUCCUCGCAAGCUUCAGAUACUCGUACGACUUUGACCCAGCAAGGGAUGGCCUUUGACUGGGGAGUUACGCAAGAAAAGGAACCUUUGAGUUUCCGAGUGAGUGACCAAGUUCUUUCGGAUAAACUCACUCUGGGAAUGGCUUAAUACGCUUCGUAAAGCGUGAAAAGCUAAAUCCCAAUUUGGCAGGACCUCCGGGAUUCUUAUCAGAAUCUGUCCUGUGCCUCGCACAAACUAGACCUACUCCGCGAACUUAGUAGCGUACUUUCUACUCUUCGCAUCUCGACCGUGAAACCAUACCUUUCCGUUAGGACUCUUACAAGUCCACUCGUCAAGAUCCUCGCCUUUGUAUCAGAACCGUAGUGACCCUCGACCGAGAGGUCAAGCGGACGAAGCAACGCCGUCGCCAAUUAGUGAAGGUUCGUUGGGAUACCAACCGAGAGCCCGACUUCACUUAAGUGCGCUAGAACCAAUCGAUUAGGAAGUUUCCUCCUCACGUCUCGAUCAUUCGUGUAUACUUCCAUGCCUAAAUUCUAAUUUCGGGACGAAAUUCCCUUUAACAGGGGGAUGAUGUGACAACCCGAAAUUUUCCAUUCAAAUCAAACCACAUCAAUCCAAUAGAAGUAGAGCAGUUUCAGUGAGAAUUCAAACUUUUGGAAUAAGUUUGGCAGUUUUAGGGUUUUACACCUAAGGAGUUAUUAGGAGAGUGGGUGCAUUAGGAUUUUGUGCAACACUGU